CACGUAGGGCGCAAGCGUUGUCCGGAAUUAUUGGGCGUAAAGAGCUCGUAGGCGGUCUGUUGCGUCCGCUGUGAAAACUCGGGGCUUAACCCCGAGCCUGCAGUGGAUACGGGCAGACUAGAGUGUGGUAGGGGAGACUGGAAUUCCUGGUGUAGCGGUGAAAUGCGCAGAUAUCAGGAGGAACACCUAUUGCGAAGGCAGCUCGCUGGGACGUAACUGACGCUGAGACGCGAAAGCGUGGGGAGCAAACAGG
rnacentral:rRNA from 1 species